rnacentral:rRNA from 1 species
GACGAACGCUGGCGGCGUGCUUAACACAUGCAAGUCGAACGGAAAGGCCCUGCAUUUGUGGGGUGCUCGAGUGGCGAACGGGUGAGUAACACGUGAGUAACCUGCCCUUGACUUUGGGAUAACUUCAGGAAACUGGGGCUAAUACCGGAUAGGAGCUCCUGCUGCAUGGUGGGGGUUGGAAAGUUUCGGCGGUUGGGGAUGGACUCGCGGCUUAUCAGCUUGUUGGUGGGGUAGUGGCUUACCCAGGCUUUGACGGAUAGCCGGCCUGAGAGGGUGACCGGCCACAUGGGGACUGAGAUACGGCCCAGACUCCUACGGGGGGCAGCAGUGGGGAAUAUUGCACAAUGGGCGGAAGCCUGAUGCAGCAACGCCGCGUGCGGGAUGACGGCCUUCGGGUUGUAAACCGCUUUCGCCUGUGACGAAGCGUGAGUGACGGUAAUGGGUAAAGAAGCACCGGCUAACUACGUG